UACAGAGGGGGCAAGCGUUAUUCGGAAUUAUUGGGCGUAAAGGGCGCGUAGGCGGCUUUUCAAGUGACGGGUGAAAUCCCUCGGCUUAACCGAGGAACUGCCUGUCAGACUGGAAGGCUUGAGACCGGGAGAGGUGAGUGGAAUUCCCAGUGUAGUGGUGAAAUACGUAGAGAUUGGGAAGAACACCAGUGGCGAAGGCGGCUAUCUGGACGGUUUCUGACGCUAAGACGCGAAAGCGUGGGGAGCAAACAGG
rnacentral:rRNA from 1 species